CACGUAGGGUGCGAGCGUUGUCCGGAAUUAUUGGGCGUAAAGAGCUCGUAGGCGGUGUGUUGCGUCGGCCGUGAAAACCUGCAGCUUAACUGUGGGCUUGCGGUCGAUACGGGCAUCACUGGAGUUCGGCAGGGGAGACUGGAAUUCCUGGUGUAGCGGUGAAAUGCGUAGAUAUCUGGAGGAACACCGGUGGCGAAGGCGGCAUCCUGGACCAAUACUGACGCUGAGGAGCGAAAGCCAGGGGAGCAAACGGG
rnacentral:rRNA from 1 species